ensembl:lncRNA
GACUUUGAAAGUCACAGAAUCAAAUCAUGUGGAGCCACAGGAGGGAGAUUCCACCUUUCCAUCAGUCUUCCUGCCCACUCUUUCUCCCCAUUUCUGUUAGAAGUGAGGUUGUGCUGGAUUUAAGUAGAACAUUGCUCAGAAUUUCCAGCGGUUUCCAAUUAAAGCAGGUCACAAUGAAAGGUGUCCUGGAAGUUACUAGAAGAGAAGCAAUAGUGACAAGCAAAGAUCUUGAAACCUUCAGUGUACAGCCUUGGGAAUUCUCCUGGUACACAGGCUUGGGAACUCUGCUUGUCUCAGGUUGACGAGAUGGCCAGAGGCAAAGCCUUGGAGGUGAGCAGUGCAGCCAUGGAGCCAUGAAGCAGCCCUGGGGAGUGUGAAGCUAGCGAGAAGAGACACUAGUGCCUGCGCUGAUGGGGUGUGCGGUUCCUGAGGAGAGCGUGGCAGG